UAGGAAAGUUUGAGUUUCUGGUUGGAGCCUUCAACGGCUCUGAACGGUGGCUGGACUUAGACACAUCACGCUCCAGUUUGGGUUCCAAGGUGCUUCUCUCUGGAUUUUCACCUGCCUUGCCAAAAAUGAUUGAUUACGCUGGGCCAACUGGG
rnacentral:lncRNA from 1 species